rnacentral:rRNA from 1 species
AUGGCCGCCGGCGACCGCCGCCUGCGGCUGGGCUCCUACCUCGGCGACGUCUCCGCGCUCUCCUUCCUCCCCUCCUCCCCGCGCCCCCUCCUCCUCGCCGGGACCGGGUCGGAGCUGCUCGUCUACGACCUGGAGGCCGCCAGGCUCGUCGCCUCCUUCCGGGUCUUCGACGGCGUGCGCGUCCACGGCAUCCAGCCCCGCGGCUCGCCCCCAGCCGACGGGCUCACCGUCGCCGUCUUCGGCGAGAGGAGGGUGAAGCUCCUCAGGCUCCGCGUCGACGCGGAGGAUGGCGGGGCGGUCGGCGUGCGGCUGGAGCUGGAGCAGAGGCUCCCCGGGUUCGACCACUGGGUGCUCGACGCUUGCUUCCUCGAGGUGGACGGGCUGCUCGCCAUCGGUUUGGGCGACAAUUCAGUGGCAUUGUGGGAUUUGAAGGACCGCGUGUUUGUUACCAGAGUGAAUUCUCCAGAGAAGUGCCUUCUUUAUUCAAUGAGAAUGUGGGGGGACUCUGUUCAAUCCCUCCUCGUAGCUUCUGGAACCAUUCUAAACGAGAUUCUUAUUUGGAAAUUGGUACCUGAAACCCGGAGUUCUUCCUUGUUAAGUUCGGACGAGUUGGGCGCCACUGGUGUAGAGAACCGUGAAAAACAACAUUCUAGUGGUAAUAAAUACAUGGCUGUUCAUAUUGGAAGGCUGAAGGAACAUGAAGGUUCAAUAUUUCGAAUAGCUUGGUCCUCUGAUGGAUCAAAGUUCAUGUCUGUCUCUGACGAUCGCAGUGCUCGCAUGUGGAUGUUAAGUUGUCAGCCACAGGAUCUUACCAAUCAAGCAGCCAAAAUUGAUGAUGUGGACAUUAUACCCAAACUGACACUUUUCGGACACAGUGCUAGAAUUUGGGAUUGUUGCAUAUCUGAUUCUAUAGUUAUAACUGCUGGCGAGGAUUGUACUUGCUGCAUUUGGGGCAUGGAUGGAAAGCUAAUCAAAACAUUCAAAGAACACAUUGGCCGAGGAUUAUGGCGAUGUUUAUAUGAUCCAAGCUCACUAGUUCUGAUCACCGCGGGGUUUGAUUCUGCAAUCAAAGUGCACCACCUAUGUAACUCCUCUUUUCAUGACAUAUUGGAAGAAAACGUGGCCCCAGAUGGUCUGAAAUACGAUUCUGAGGUGUUUGAAAUAUCUUCUCCUAUAGUAUCAGGACAGCAUGGUGCCUUGGAUAGCAAAAGCGAAUAUGUCCGAUGCUUACAUUUUGUGCAAGAAAAUGUUCUCUAUGUUGCCACAAACAAUGGAUAUCUGCAUCAUGCUGAGCUCUCUGAUACAAAAGAUCCAAGAUGGACUGAGGUUAUUCAGGUCACUGAGAAAGCACCAAUUAUAUGUAUGGAUGUAAUGACAGGGUGCUCAGACAUUUCUUUGGAUAAGGAGGAUAUAAUUGCCCUUGGAGACGGUCGUGGAAAUGUUACUAUUGUCCGUUUAAGCAGUCCCAGUCUUCUUGAACCUAAAAUGGAUUUAUCUUUCACCUGGCAAGCUGAAAAGGACAGGCAACUACUAGGACUGUACUGGUGCAAGUCACUUGAAUGUAGCCACAUUUUCACAGCUGAUCCUAGAGGCACUCUUAAGUUAUGGAACAUAAGAAAUGCCCUUUUCUCAAAUGGCCAUCCGAUUACUCAGGAGGUUUCACUUGUUGCAAUGUUUGAAUCUCCCUUUGGGGCUCGAAUCAUGUGUUUAGAUGUAUCACUUCAAGAUGAGAUCCUUAUAACAGGUGAUAAGAAGGGUAACAUCGCUGCCUUUCCUUUUCAUAAAACAUUGGCAGCACAUGACAGCAGUGAGGCACAACAGAAGAUACCUUUACGUGACCGUUUUAAAGGAGCUCAUGGCAUUUCUGGUGUCACAAGUGUUCAGAUAAUCACCUCAGCUUCAGAUCAUAUUGAAAUCCACACUACUGGGGGAGACGGCUGUAUUUGCUUCUUCAAGUAUGGGAGGAAUGUGAAAAACGUUGAAUUUGUUGGAAUGAGACAAUUGAAAGAAUUAGGCACCAUUCAAUCGAUCUACGCUAAUCAUACCUCUGUUAACCAAUUGGUUGGUACCUAUGCAAUAGGUUUCACCUCUGCGGACUUUAUCAUUUGGGACCUUGAAAAUGAUACAAAGCUAGUUCAAAUAUCCUGCGGAGGAUGGCGUCGCCCUUACUCUUAUUAUCUUGGGACAGUCCCUGAGUAUCAAAACUGUUUCGCCUUCGUAAAGGACCACAGUAUUCAUGUGCAUAGACACUGGGCACCAACUCAAGAUAGGAAGCUGCUUCCUCAAGUUUUUCAUACACAGUUCCAUGGAAGGGAAGUGCAUUCUCUUUGCUUCAUAGAUCCAGCAAGCUAUUCAAUUCCUCAGAAGAGUACGGAUUUGUGGAUUGCAACCGGGUGUGAAGAUGGAACAGUCCGGCUUACAGGGUACUCGGCUAGUAGUGCUGGAAGAUGGUGUUCAUCCAAGCUGCUGGGGGAGCAUGUUGGUGGGUCAGCUGUGAGAGAUACUUGUUUCAUCCCAAAGACUUACACAUUAGCAGAUAAAUCAUGCAACUCCAGUGUCAGUUCUGCCGACAUUUUGGUCGAAAACAAGGACACCACUUACAUAUUGAUAUCUGUUGGAUCAAAGCAAGUUCUGACGGCUUGGAUUCUAGAACCUAGGAUUGCAGAGAAGAAACAAGUGUGUUUGAGUGGUCUAGAUUUAGACACCAAGCAAAGCUCGGAAUGCUCACACAAUAGUGAUUCAGCCGUUACAUUUCAGUGGCUUUCUACCCACAUGCCACCAAAGCUUGCCACCAAUAGGUUGAAGGGUGAUCUUGUAAAACGGAAAUUCGAGGAAGGCGGGGAAGGAAAUUCCUCUGCUCAACCCAAUCUGGCUAUUAUGGAUCAGAUGGAAAAUGACUGGCGUUACCUUUCUGUUACAGCAUUUCUUUUGAAACAUCCGGCUACCGAGUUGACAGUUUGUUUUGUGGUUGUUGCUUGCUCUGAUGCAACAGUUAUUGUCCGUGCGCUUCUUUUGCCUUCUCGGCUAUGGUUUGAUGUUGCCUUGCUGGUCCCACAGGCAUCACCAGUUCUUGUGCUACGGCAUAUUGUCGUCGCCUCUGGUGCCCAUUGUGAAGGUGAUGUUUAUAAUGGCGAUAGGUACAUUAUCGUGAGUGGGUCUACAGAUGGUAGCAUCACAUUGUGGGACCUAACAGACACCAUUCAUGGUUUUAUGCAACUAGUAUCAGAGACUAAACCACACAUGGUUAUCGACUGCCAAAAGCGGCCCAAGACAGGAAGAGGGAGUCAGGGUGGUCGUCGUCGUGAGAACAAUCUGAGUAGCUCGUGCGCUGCUGCAGAGAGUCCACAUGAAACUUCAGGAGCGGCAGAAAUCGAGGCCAUAAAAAACACCGAGGACACAGUUUCAAGUACCCAGUCAUGUGAUAUACCUGAGCUGCAGCCAUUGCAGAUGUUCUCCGGUGUUCACCAGUCAGGCGUCAACUGCCUCCAUGUUUCCGAGAUGGAGCAGCGAUCAAGCUCUGCACCUGGCAUGUCUUAUUGCAUCGUAAGUGGCGGUGAUGAUCAGGCGGUUCAGUGUUUUGUUUUUACACUAGGACCCCUGCCGGGCUGCUCAGCGAACACGGCAAGCCUAAGCUUGCCAUGUGACAAUGGCGAACUUAAAAUACUUGGCCAACACACGGUCCCCUCGGCCCAUGGUUCAGCAGUGAAAGGUAUCUGGACGGACGGCGCCUGGGCUUUCUCCACCGGGCUUGACCAGAGAAUCAGAUGUUGGAAGAUGGGCCCAUCCGGCAGAUUCACGGAGCAUUCCCAUGUCAUCAUCAGUGUGCCCGAGCCGGAAACUCUGGAUGUUUUCCAUUACCGUGGGAGCGGGAAAUACCACAUCGCCGUUGCAGGAAGAGGGAUGCAGAUGGUUGAGUUCUCGCCGCCUGAAGACGACUCGAUGAAGAUAGCGUGA